rnacentral:rRNA from 1 species
AGAGUUUGAUCCUGGCUCAGGAUGAACGCUAGCGGCGGGCUUAAUACAUGCAAGUCGAACGGGUAGCAAUACUAGUGGCGGACGGGUGCGUAACACGUAUGCAACCUACCUUCGGAUGGGGGACAACAGCUCGAAAGGGCUGCUAAUACCGCAUGAAUCUAUUAAUCGGCAUCGAUGGAUAGUGAAAGCUGCAAGGCGUCUGAAGAUGGGCAUGCGGCCGAUUAGGUAGUUGGUAAGGUAACGGCUUACCAAGCCGACGAUCGGUAACUGGUCUGAGAGGAUGAUCAGUCACACUGGCACGGAGACACGGGCCAGACUCCUACGGGAGGCAGCAGUGAGGAAUAUUGGUCAAUGGGGGCAACCCUGAACCAGCAACGCCGCGUGGGUGACGAAGGCCUUCGGGUCGUAAAGCCCUUUUGCAGGUGACGAGGAAGGACGGUAGCCUGCGAAGAAGUGUCGGCUAACUACGUGCCAGCCGCCGCGGUAAUUC